CUUUUGAGAAGUUCUUGUUCUAGAGUUUACUUAACUACUGACACAUGGACUUCUUUGCAAAGAGUUAAUUAUUUGUGCAUCACUGCUCACGUUAUUGAUAACGAUUGGAAAUUGAAUUAAAAUAUUUUAAUCUUUUGUCCAAUUUCUAGUCAUAAGGGUGAGUCCAUUGGGAUGGUGAUUGAGAAAUGCUUGUUGAAUUGAGGGAUUGAUAAGUUGUUUACUGUUACUGUUGAUAAUGCAAGUUCAAAUGAUGUUGCUAUUGGUUAUUUGAGAAAGAAAUUUAACCCUCGAGGGGGUUUAGUUCAAAAUGGUAAAUAUCUUCAUAUAAGAUGCACGACACACAUUGUGAAUUCGAUUGUUGUUGAAGGCUUAAAGGAAAUGAAUAAAUCUAUUGAACGUGUUAGGGGGGCUGUUAGAUAUGUGAGACAAUCUCCAGCUAGAUUACAAAAGUUUAAGGAAUGUGUUGUGGUGGAAAAGAUAGAGUACAAGAAGAUGUUGUGUCUUAAUGUUUGUACUAGGUGGAACUCGACCUACUUAAUGUUAGACACUGCUCAGAACUUUGAGAGAGCUUUUGAGAGAUUUGAUGAGCAAGAUACAAACUUUAGGGCUAAACUUGAAAGGGGUGAAGGUUGGCCUAGUGUGGAUGAUUGGGAUAAUGUUAGAAACUUGAGGGAUUUCUUGGUACACUUUUAUGAAGUCACUUUGCGUAUAUCUGGCACUUCAUAUGUCACGUUCAAUAAUUUUUUUGAUGAGCUUUCUGAAAUUGAUAUUCUUUUACGAGAUGCUUAGUUAAAAAGUAAUGUUGAUUUCUGUGUUAUGGCCAUCAAGAUGAAAGAGAAGUAUGAUAAGUGUUGGGGUGAUAUUGAUAAGAUGAAUUUGCUUAUGUUUGUUGCUUGUAUUUUAGAUCCUAGACAAAAACUAAAGUAUCUUGAAUUUGCACUUAGUGUAAUGUCUAGUUCUGAAAAAGCUUGUGAAAUGAUGCAAAAAUUGAAGGAAUCUUUGUAUGAAUUGUUUGAUGAGUAUAAGCCUCCACUUCAUAGUACUUGUAGCCAAUUGAGUGUGCCAACACGUGUUUCUCUCGGUGAACCACAACAAAAAAUGAAAAGGCGAAUGCAAGCUUAGUAUAAAAAGCGUGAGUUGGAAAUUUGUGGUGAGGAUAAAACAUCUGAGUUGGAUAAAUAUCUAGCUGAGGCUAAUGAGGAAUUUGUUGAAGACUUUGAUAUUUUAUUAUGGUGGAAAGUGAACAACCCUAGAUUUCCCACUCUUUCAAAAAUGGCCAGAGAUGUGUUAGCUAUACCGGUUUCUACGGUUGCUUCAGAGUCUGCACUUAGCACCGGGGGACGUGUCCUUGAUCGAUAUAGGAGUUCUUUAACUCCUAAAAUUGUACAAGCUCUUGUGUAUACUCAAGAUUGGAUUCGAAAAUCAUCAUCACAAGAAGACAUCAAAAAGAUUGAAGAACAAAUCCAAGAUCUUGACAAGAUCGAAAAUGACUUUUCUUGGAAUGCAUCAGAGCCUACCCUAAAUUAAUGAGCUUUCGUGAGUUGAAGGAUUUAAUGCAAAUGGAGAUAAAUGGAGAAUAUUAAAGACUUACAUUUCAAUUAUGUGUUAAUUUCAAGACUUAUGUAAUGUUUUUAAUUAUGUAGUGAUUCAAAGACUUAUGUAAUGUUUUUAAUU